GAACUCCUUUCAAGAAGAGACCCAUUGUAAGGGUCAUAGCUGAAUACUUUGAUAUCCACCUUCUUCAGAGAAUGCAGCCAGAUAGAUAGAUGUGACCUAUUAUAACAUCUCUAUUUCUGAGACAGCUUUUGACUCGAGCCUGCAUCAGAAUAUUUGCUGAUUGAAGAGCCUCCUUGUGUGAUUUAUGGCCAACCAAGCAUGAACAGUAAUACAUCAGAUCAACUCAGUGCACUGAGAACAAUGGUAUGGUCUAAGCACAGUGUUACAAGAACAUGGAGAAAUAAAUAUUUUGUUCUGUUACUGAGAAGGAAUUGUCUUCCAGUGUCAGUAUGAGUGUGAAUGGAGACUGAUAAGAAAGCAGAGAGAGAGGUAAAAUACAGCUGCAGAACAAAAACAGAUAAAUAACGAUAUGCCUGUACAUGCAGUCAUAUAGUCCUCCUCUUAAAGCCAGAUUCCUACUUCUGCUGUCAUUCCUGUAUCUGUGUUACCAAAAACUAUGCUUGCAUGGCUGCUUGCACUAAGCUUGACUGUACAAGCUGCUCAAAUUAGAAGAUGGAGAUGAAACUGAAGACAGCCCACUGAUUGCUACUGGAGAAAUCAAUGCCCUGCAUAUGGCAAAAGCAGGAGAAAAGCAGUCUUGAGCUCGAUAGAACAGAAGCAAAACCUCUCCGAAGAGUUCAGAGAAAAAAAAGCCCAGAUGCUGAACUGUAAUUCUAUCUCCUGUGGAGUCCUGCCUAUUGCUGCUGCUUCCAGCAAAAGCAGUGAUAUGCUGACACCUUGCAGAAGCUCCAGAACAACCUGGCUGUCUCUCUAGGGUGCUGACAGAAAAGAGCACAGAAGUCUUAUCUGCCAUGAGGCAUCUCAAAGUAUCUGACAGCUGCAUUCAAAGCUGUGUUUGGGC